rnacentral:ncRNA from 1 species
UUGCCACAACGGCUUCCUGACGCGGCAAUCUUACUUAACUGGAGCA